rnacentral:pre_miRNA from 1 species
GAAUUACUGCCUCCGUCCAACAAAAUAUUUCUCAAAUUUAUCAAAAUUUGGAUGUAUUUAGACAUGACUUAGCGUAUAGAUGCAUUCUAAUUUAGUCGAAGUUGAGACAUCCUUGUUGGACGGAGGAAUUAGUAA